GCCGGGGUGGCGAAAUCGGUAGACGCAAGGGACUUAAAAUCCCUCGGCCGUCCGGCCAUGCGGGUUCGACCCCCGCCCCCGGCA
rnacentral:tRNA from 1 species